UUCUUUACUGUGCUUCACAAUUGACAGUGCGGCAUUUGCAAGGGACAGCUGGGAGAUGCAGCAAGUGGGACAGAUGUCAGGAUUAGAAAUGGUCUUCUGAACUGCAAUGAUUGUUACAUCCGAUCCAGAACUGCUGGACAGCCAACUACAUUGUGACAUGACUUUCAGUCCUAGUAACUUUCAAGAAGGAACUCUCUUCUCACGUGUAUUGGCUGCCUCCAGACAAUCAUUUGUAAGAGCUUGAAUUCAUGGACAUCGUGGCUCUCAUCUCAUUUUAAAAAACUCAUAAAAGUGCUGCACCUGCUCCUUUAAAAUGCAAUAUGUCAGUUUUUCCUUUCUUAAGAAAUCUGCAAAAUAUGUAUGACCAUAUUUGUUAAGGCAAAGCCUAAGUACUGUAACAACAACAACAACAAAAUCCCACCUUUUCAGGUAUGUUGAUGAUUUUCAGUCUCUUACUUUGUUCUUCUGAAAGUAAUAAGAAAAUAAACAUGCAAUAAAGCUGUUUUGUGUUAACAUUUCUAGGAAUUAAAAGUUUGAGUUUACGGAACCUUUAUAGAAUAUGCCAAGUUGAGAUGAGAAGUAAUUUUAAGAUAGCAUCUAAUCAGUGCAUUUGAAAAACUAAGCAUCACAGCACGACUGCUCUGUUAUAACUGAAGCUAUAACUUUUUUUAUACAGAGACUAGUUUGAUAAUACAUCCUGUAAUUCUGAGACAUUUUGUGUUUAUAUUACCUUCAGCGGAGGGUAGGAGUUAUACAAAUAAAUUAUUGCACCUUUAGCAAUAGGAUUUUUUGUUUGUGUACCUCAAGUAAUGUUCAUGACUAUAGCUUGAUAUUCUCUCAAAUAAAGAUUUCUUCAUUAAACCUAAA